rnacentral:rRNA from 11 species
UGACCGAUAGUGAACCAGUACCGUGAGGGAAAGGUGAAAAGCACCCCGACGAGGGGAGUGAAAGAGACCUGAAACCGAAUGCUUACAAGCAGUCGGAGCAUCCAUUGUGGUGUGACGGCGUACCUUUUGUAUAAUGGGUCAGUGAGUUAGUCUAUCAAGCAAGCUUAAGCCGUUAGGUGUAGGCGUAGCGAAAGCGAGUCUGAAUAGGGCGUGAAGUUAGACGGAUUAGACCCGAAACCGAGUGAUCUAGGUAUGAGCAGGCUGAAGGUAAGGUAACACUUACUGGAGGACCGAACCCACAUCCGUUGAAAAGGGUGGGGAUGAGGUGUGGAUAGGGGAGAAAUUCCAAUCGAACCCGGAGAUAGCUGGUUCUCCUCGAAAGCUAUUUAGGUAGCGCC